AGACCCGAAACCCGGUGAUCUAGCCAUGGGCAGGUUGAAGGUUGGGUAACACUAACUGGAGGACCGAACCGACUAAUGUUGAAAAAUUAGCGGAUGACCUGUGGCUGGGGGUGAAAGGCCAAUCAAACCGGGAGAUAGCUGGUUCUCCCCGAAAGCUAUUUAGGUAGCGCCUCGUGAAUUCAUCUCCGGGGGUAGAGCACUGUUUCGGCUAGGGGGCCAUCCCGGCUUACCAACCCGAUGCAAACUGCGAAUACCGGAGAAUGUUAUCACGGGAGACACACGGCGGGUGCUAACGUCCGUCGUGAAGAGGGAAACAACCCAGACCGCCAGCUAAGGUCCCAAAGUCAUGGUUAAGUGGGAAACGAUGUGGGAAGGCCCAGACAGCCAGGAUGUUGGCUUAGAAGCAGCCAUCAUUUAAAGAAAGCGUAAUAGCUCACUGGUCGAGUCGGCCUGCGCGGAAGAUGUAACGGGGCUAAACCAUGCACCGAAGCUGCGGCAGCGACACUGUGUGUUGUUGGGUAGGGGAGCGUUCUGUAAGCCUGUGAAGGUGUGUCGUGAGGCAUGCUGGAGGUAUCAGAAGUGCGAAUGCUGACAUAAGUAACGAUAAAGCGGGUGAAAAGCCCGCUCGCCGGAAGACCAAGGGUUCCUGUCCAACGUUAAUCGGGGCAGGGUGAGUCGACCCCUAAGGCGAGGCCGAAAGGCGUAGUCGAUGGGAAACGGGUUAAUAUUCCCGUACUUGGUGUUACUGCGAAGGGGGGACGGAGAAGGCUAUGUUGGCCGGGCGACGGUUGUCCCGGUUUAAGCGUGUAGGUGUGUGUUCCAGGUAAAUCCGGUUCACUUUAACACUGAGGCGUGACGACGAGGCACUACGGUGCUGAAGCAACAAAUGCCCUGCUUCCAGGAAAAGCCUCUAAGCAUCAGGUAACAUCAAAUCGUACCCCAAACCGACACAGGUGGUCAGGUAGAGAAUACCAAGGCGCUUGAGAGAACUCGGGUGAAGGAACUAGGCA
rnacentral:rRNA from 1 species